rnacentral:piRNA from 1 species
UCAUUGGGUGCCUGUCCUGAUGA